ACUUAAAUAGCUUAUGUAGAGCGUAACACUGAAGAUGUUGAGGAAGUUAAAUAACUUUUAGGUA
rnacentral:tRNA from 1 species